rnacentral:rRNA from 1 species
UAGGGGAAUCUUCGGGCAAUGGGGGCAACCCUGACCGAGCAACGCCGCGUGAGUGAAGAAGGUUUUCGGAUCGUAAAGCUCUGUUGUAAGAGAAGAACGUGUGUGAGAGUGGAAAGUUCACACAGUGACGGUAACUUACCAGAAAGGGACGGCUAACUACGUGCCAG